GACGAACGCUGGCGGCGUGCUUAACACAUGCAAGUCGAGCGAUGAAGUUCCUUCGGGAAUGGAUUAGCGGCGGACGGGUGAGUAACACGUGGGUAACCUGCCUCAUAGAGGGGAAUAGCCUUCCGAAAGGAAGAUUAAUACCGCAUAAGAUUGUAGUACCGCAUGGUAUAGCAAUUAAAGGAGUAAUCCGCUAUGAGAUGGACCCGCGUCGCAUUAGCUGGUUGGUGAGGUAACGGCUCACCAAGGCGACGAUGCGUAGCCGACCUGAGAGGGUGAUCGGCCACAUUGGGACUGAGACACGGCCCAGACUCCUACGGGAGGCAGCAGUGGGGAAUAUUGCACAAUGGGGGAAACCCUGAUGCAGCAACGCCGCGUGAGUGAUGACGGUCUUCGGAUUGUAAAGCUCUGUCUUCAGGGACGAUAAUGACGGUACCUGAGGAGGAAGCCACGGCUAACUACGUGCCAGCCGCCGCCGUAAGAC
rnacentral:rRNA from 1 species